rnacentral:rRNA from 1 species
AACGAACGCUGGCGGCAGGCUUAACACAUGCAAGUCGAACGAUGUAGCAAUACAUAGUGGCGCACGGGUGAGUAACGCGUGGGAAUGUACCAUUUGGUGGGGAAUAACUCCGGGAAACUGGAGCUAAUACCGCAUACGCCCUUCGGGGGAAAGAUUUAUCGCCAAAUGAUCAGCCCGCGUGAGAUUAGGUAGUUGGUGGGGUAAUGGCCUACCAAGCCGACGAUCUCUAGCUGGUCUCAGAGGAUGAUCAGCCACACUGGAACUGAGACACGGUCCGGACUCCUACGGGAGGCAGCAGUGGGGAAUAUUGGACAAUGGGCGAAAGCCUGAUCCAGCAAUGCCGCGUGUGUGAAGAAGGCCUUCGGGUUGUAAAGCACUUUAGGCUGGAAAGAAAAAGCUUUGGCUAAUAUCCAAAGCCUUGACGGUACCAGCAGAAUAAGCACCGGCUAACUCUGUGCCAGCCGCCGCGGUAAAAC